UUCCCUGGGCAGAUAGUGUUUCACAUUGCAUACUAUGUACUUUAGUAGCUCCGGAACGCAGGGGUGGGGAGGGUCCCCUCUGCAUCCUUGGUAUUUUCUCUGCUACUGCUUUCAGGCACCUGUUUUUCCUCUCCAUCCCGGAAUGGAGCCCAGACAAGGAUUUUAAAUAGUACAAGGAGAUCGGGUGUCUGAGCAGUCUUGGAUUAAACCUUCUACAACAGAUUUGCAUCCUUUGACUCGUUUCCAAGAAAGUGAUGUAUUAUUUGCCCUAUCCUCUGGCUGCUGUAACAAUGUUCCCUAGAAUGAAAACAAACCAUUAGACUCUGACCACAGAACUAAGAUCAUCAGAAGGAGGAAUGAGGCUUUGAUGUGUUAGGUACUGUGAAGCUCAAGCACCAGUGAAAGGAUCCCAGUUUGAAGCCCCGUUGCCAACCUGCAGGGGGGUCGCUUCUUGGGUGGUGAAGCAGAAUUCAAAGACAUUUCAAAUGGAUAUGCUAGCAUGUUUGAAUCUCAACCGUUAUGCUAAAUUCUUCUGGCAAAUCAGGUCACACAAUUCCUGGGUCAGCUCCGUCAUGCUUCCUGACCAAUGAGCUGAGAGAUUCAUAUCUACUUAGUUAUGGCUGAGUACUUAAACUGGUUUUCCCAUAUAAUCUUCUAGUUAAUCCUAUAUAAAGUAACUGAAGAAGAAACUGAUACUCAAAGAAAAGAACUAAUGUAUCCCAGAUCGUUUGAACAUUGACAGCAAAGCCAGGUUUUAGUAGGUUGGCUGUAUAUUAUAUUCAGAUUUCACAGUAUUACUAUGUUAUAAUGUCUUGUGGAAGAAAAAAAAAAAACAUGAGAAAAGUAAGCAAAUAAGUACAACAGUAGCCAAAGUGCUAUGGCAGAGAUGUGUGGAAAGAAUGUAAUUUCUUUAAAGAAUAAAAAAAAUCUGUAAAGGCACAGAUGCUAUACUGACUCUUAAAAGUAUGUUUUAGUUGAGGGAAAGUUCACUGCAGAAUGGUAUAAAGUAUAUGUAAAAGGUACUAAGACAAUAAAACUUCAUGUGGGUCUGACUUUAGGGUGUAGGGAACACAUCAUAAAUGUGUAUAUUUGCUAUUUUAAGAAGUUUAGAUCCUACUGAGUAGGGCUAUAUUCACUUAACCCGCUGUGCUAUAGCCUGACUCCCAGUAAAAAUACUCUGUAUAAUUUUUGCACCGUGCCUUGCUGAGUAUUUAGAUUACUGUAGGGGUAGUGUGAUGACACAGUGGGUUAAGUGCACAUAGUAUGAAGCACAAGGAUCAUGGUUUUAGCCCCCAGCUUCCCACCUGCAGGGAGUUGCAUCACAAUCAGUGAAGCAGGUCUGUAGGUGUCUCUCUCCUGAUCUAUCUACCCCUCUUCCCCUCUCAAUUUCUUGCUGUUCUAUCCAAUUAAAAAAAAAAAAGAUUUUAAUGUGUGUGUGUGUAUGUGUGUGUGUGUGUGUUUCGGCUGCCAGGGAUUUGACUGAAGUCCAUGUCUGUGCAAUUCCACCUCUCCAAGUGAACAUAUUUUUGUUUUCCAGAUAUAGGAUAAGAGACAGAGAGUCAAGAGACACCACACAGCUCUCCACCACCCCUCGCCAAGCUUCCCUCUUUGCACGAUACUCCUAGUGUCUAGGGGCUCGAACUUAGGUCCUUCCUUGCACAUGGCAAAGAAUGUACUUAAUCCUGCUCCCCUCACCCCAGAAUACAUAAUGUUCAGUGAAUGUGGCUAAUUAAUUUUACUAAUAUUAUUUCUUUUUAAUAUAUAAAUAUAUAUAUUAUUGGAUAGAGACAGAGAGAGACAGAGAGGAGGGGGGAUACCAAGGAAAAGAGACAGACAGACACCUGCACACCUGCUUCACCACUCAUGAAGCUUUCCCACCUGCAAGUGGGGACCAGGGGUUUGAACCUGGGUCCUUGUGCACUGUAACGUGUACUUAAUCAGUUGUGCUACCACCUGGCCCCAGUAAUAUUACUUCUAGGUUUAUCAUUCUAUUUAAUCAGAUGGAAGGACACCUACAGACUUUACAAUAGUGAACAAUAAAAGUUGUUAUGGACUAAAAAUUUCUAGUUGUAUUUUAUAUCUUUUACCUUUCAU